rnacentral:rRNA from 1 species
UACGUAGGCGGCCUGGUAAGUCAGAUGUGAAAGCCCGGGGCUUAACCCCGGAAGUGCAUUUGAUACUGUCAGGCUUGAGUAUGGGAGAGGGAAGUGGAAUUCCUGGUGUAGAGGUGAAAUUCGUAGAUAUCAGGAGGAACACCGGUGGCGAAGGCGACUUCCUGGACCAAUACUGACGCUGAGGUGCGAAGGCGUGGGUAGCAAACA